UUUGCUCCAGCCACUACUCAACAAAUGGAUGUGUAAACUCAAUAAAUACAAUUAGCAACAAAGAAUAUAAAUUCGGUAAGAAGUUUUGUAAUAAGCCUUCCUUUCCCUGGAUUACAUGGUACUUGGGCAGAGUCAAAUACAGACAAAGCCAUCCACAACGCUCAAAAGGAUCGUGUUUUAGGCAAGACAAUUGACAGCAUCUCUUAGGAGUAUUGCAUCAUCACUAAGUACCUAAAGCAGCCGCCCAGUAUCAAGGUCUGGGUCGGUAUUAUGUCGGAAGGGAAGACAAUGCCCCUCAUUUUCAUUGAGGAGGGUGUGAAGAUCAACUAACACUUCUAAAGGGUAUAUUGGUGGACAAAAUCCUUCUCUGACUUCAGGAAAAA
rnacentral:lncRNA from 1 species